UUCCGUUUGUAUUUUCAGGGAUCUGCUUGGGAAAUCACAGAACCUGAAGAUUUUAUGAAAUAUUAAAAGCAAUAAUAAAGAAUUGUCAUUCACACAGAAAAUCAGAGCAGAAUAUUGCACUGUAUUUAACUUUUCUCUGUUCAUUUUCAUGCUUGAAAAUUUCAAAGGAGUUCAUCCUACCAGAAAGAGACAGCAUGCAUCAUGUAAUAAAAGUCAUAAAAUUUACAGUUUUCGUGAUUUAUUGUUAACUACAAAAUUAUUGCAUUAAUAAUA
rnacentral:lncRNA from 1 species